rnacentral:rRNA from 1 species
ACGGCUCAGUAACACGUGGACAAUCUAACCUACGGAGGGGGAUAACCCCGGGAAACUGGGGAUAAUACCCCAUAGACUAUGAAUGCUGGAAUGCUUUGUAGUCGAAAGGUCCGCCGCCGUAGGAUGGGUCUGCGGCCGAUUAGGUUGUUGUUGGGGUAACGGCCCAACAAGCCUGUAAUCGGUACGGGUUGUGGGAGCAAGAGCCCGGAGAUGGAUUCUGAGACACGAAUCCAGGCCCUACGGGGCGCAGCAGGCGCGAAAACUUUGCAAUGCGGGAAACCGUGACAGGGGAACUCCGAGUGCCCGUUAAAUCGGGCUGUCCAUCGGUUUAAAUAACCGGUGAAGAAAGGGCCGGGCAAGACCGGUGCCAGCCGCCGCGGUAAUACCGGCGGCUCGAGUGGUGGCCACUAUUACUGGGCUUAAAGCGUUCGUAGCUGGUUUGUUAAGUCUCUGGGGAAAUCUUCCGGCUUAACCGGAAGGCGUCUCAGGGAUACUGGCAGACUAGGGACCGGGAGAGGUGAGGGGUACUCCAGGGGUAGGAGUGAAAUCCUGUAAUCCUUGGGGGACCACCUGUGGCGAAGGCGCCUCACCAGAACGGCUCCGACAGUGAGGGACGAAAGCUGGGGGAGCAAACCGGAUUAGAUACCCGGGUAGUCCCAGCUGUAAACGAUGCGCGUUAGGUGUAUCGGUGACCACGAGUCACCGAGGUGCCGAAGAGAAAUCGUGAAACGUGCCGCCUGGGAAGUACGGUCGCAAGGCUGAAACUUAAAGGAAUUGGCGGGGGAG